rnacentral:rRNA from 1 species
GGCAGAGGUGCCAAGCGUUAGGCGGAAUCACUGGGCUUAAAGCGUGUGUAGGCGGAUGCCUAAGUACCUUGUGAAAUCCCACGGCUCAACCGUGGAACUGCUGGGUAUACUGGGUGUCUUGGGUCAUCUAGGGGCUGCCGGAACAAAUGGUGGAGCGGUGAAAUGCGUAGAUAUCAUUUGGAACGCCAACGGCGAAAGCAGGCAGCUGGGGAUGCACCGACGCUGAGACACGAAAGCCAGGGGAGCGAACGGG